AUUGAACGCUGGCGGCAUGCCUUACACAUGCAAGUCGAACGGCAUCACGGGUGCUUGCACCUGGUGGCGAGUGGCGAACGGGUGAGUAAUACAUCGGAACAUGUCCUGUAGUGGGGGAUAGCCCGGCGAAAGCCGGAUUAAUACCGCAUACGAUCUACGGAUGAAAGCGGGGGACCUUCGGGCCUCGCGCUAUAGGGUUGGCCGAUGGCUGAUUAGCUAGUUGGUGGGGUAAAGGCCUACCAAGGCGACGAUCAGUAGCUGGUCUGAGAGGACGACCAGCCACACUGGGACUGAGACACGGCCCAGACUCCUACGGGAGGCAGCAGUGGGGAAUUUUGGACAAUGGGCGAAAGCCUGAUCCAGCAAUGCCGCGUGUGUGAAGAAGGCCUUCGGGUUGUAAAGCACUUUUGUCCGGAAAGAAAUCCUUGGCCCUAAUACGGUCGGGGGAUGACGGUACCGGAAGAAUAAGCACCGGCUAACUACGUG
rnacentral:rRNA from 1 species